CUCGCCCCUGUCUCCUUUCAGAUUAUCCCUGGACAGCACCGAGGCAGAGCUGCGCUCCCUGUUCGUCAGGACGCGGUCGCUCCAGGAAAACAUGCAGCGGGACGCGGAGCUGGGCCAGCAGAUGGAAGACUUCCUUCAGUUUGCCGUGGAAAAGCUGACAGAACUGGAGCACUGGAAACAAGAGCUGCAGGACGAGGCCCACACUCUCAUAGACUUCUUUUGAGAAGACAAAGAAACCAUGAAACUGGACGAAUGCUUGCAGAUAUUCAGAGACUUCUGUGUCAAGUUCAACAAAGCAGUUCAGUUCCAGAAGUCAGCGCCUGAGAUGGAGGAGUUGGCAGGGCCAUGGCUCCGGGCCUCUCCCAGCUCCUGGUGGCUCCACGCGCUCUUGGCAGGUGGCCACAUCACGCGAAUCCCGUUGCUUCUUUCACGCGAGGACACUUGCGAUGGCACUGAGGGCCUAUUGGGAUUUGCCAGGGGACUCUCAUCUGCAGGAAGCUUUCUCCAAAUAAGGUAACAUGCACUUGGCACAGGAAUAAGGACGCUGUAUCUUGAACCGUCAGUACUUUGAAAAAAAAAAAAAAAAAAAACAGGUUCAAUCCUUAUUUCUUGGGGAAGAAGAGCAGGUGCCCCGACCUUAAUGCAAGGUGUAGAAGCAUCCUUUGGUCUCUGGCGGGCAGAGGUGACCAGUUAGCUACUCAGUAACUCAUGACAGAGCCCCAGCCCGAAGGCUACAUCUCUCUGCCACCCUUACAUCUUGUCGUGGAUGUCCAAUUAAGUUGGUUACAGAUAUGCGUGAGAAUUCAGUGGGUGGAAUUUCCUGGAAAGUUCCCACAAAAGGAAGCAGGUAACUGGGCUUUCCCCUCAUUGCCCCUUUCCCGUUCUCUUCUUCCUGCCUGGAACACAAAUGUGAUGGCUAGAGCUCUAGCAGCCAUCUUGACCCAUGAUGUAACUAUAAAGCUAGAAGCAGGUACUACAAAGAAAGAGCUAGGCCCCUGAUGGGCUGUUAGGCUGCAUAUCCUUGUACUUAAGUGAGAGAACCCCUCACCCAGUUAAACCAUGUUAGUUCUUGCUGGUAGCAGUUCAUCUCAGUUUUCAAUUGAUAAAAUUCUAAUACUUUAUUCCCUGUCCUUUGCUGGUUGGCUCUGGGCAUGCCUUGACCUAUAGGUUUCUCUGAUUGACCACCUCCCCGCCCCUCCAUCAGGUUGCCCUGGUGACUGUCCCUCGUGGCUUUCAUACCAGCAGUCGACGUAGCUACUUGCAUGUUGUGCGUCUCUCUUGCUGCGGGAUGCCGGGACCAGACCUGUCUUGCCGUGCACUGUUGCAGGGAGAGCGCUCAGCAUGCGGUGAGAGUUUGAUCCGCCCGUGUGGCCUGGAUGAGUCUGAAAGGGAGUCAAGACGGGACCCUGGGAGCAGGUGUUUCAAAGGGGAAAUCAAGAGGCCUGGUGAAAACCCAUCAGGGCCUGAGCACACCCACUGGACGCCCCACUGCCUGAGUCGGACAUGAGUGCACAGCAAUGCCCAAACCCGUCCCACAUGGCCUCCACCUGCACCCCCUCAAACCCCCAGAGCCUUUGCGUGAGGCUCUGGCUUGGUCCCCUGUGAAAAUCGUCGCUGAGAGUCUCCGGGCUGGCGGCGUUCACGGAUUGAGCCCCCGGCAUCUCCAGCAGCAGGAGGCUUUUUUUUUUUUUUUAAGAUUUUAUUUAUUUAUUUGACAGGCAGAGUUAUAGACAGUGAGAGGAAGAGACAGAAAGAAAGGUCUUCCUUCUGUUGGUUCACUCCUCAAAUGGCCGCAAAGGCCAGAGCUGCGCCAAUCCGAAGCCAGGAGCCAGGAGCCAGGAGCUUCUUCCAAGUCUCCCAUGUGGGUACAGGAGCCCAAGCACUUGGGCCAUCUUCCACUACUUUCCCAGGCCGGAGCAGAGAGCUGGAAUGGAAGAGGAGCAACUGGGACUAGAACCCCGCACCCAUAUGGGAUGCCGGCACCUCAGGUGGAGGAUUAACUUAGUGUGCCACAGCGCCGGCCCCAGCAGGAGCCUUUCUCUCCCCAGAUCAUUGGCAGAAAAAGCAGUCCUUUGUCUCGGCUGCCUGGCCCCUGUCUCCCUCCCCCAGGGAGCCUUCCCGGAUGGCUUUGGUUGACCUGGGUUCUGUCUGUUCCUGUUUUCAUGCCUCUCAUUUUGAUACGUCAUUUUUUUCUCUACUUGCUUGCUCAGUCAACUAAAAACUCCUUCUUUAGGGAGUGGAUAUUUAACCUAGUGGCGUAAAUGCUCAUGUCCCGUAUUGUAGUAGCUGGGUCUGAAUCCUGGGUCCAGCUUCUGAAUCCAGCUCCCAGGAGUGUCUUAGCCCCUGUGGCCAAACACCUGCCCCAAACGGCCAUUUUGACUUUGCCACCUGGUCUCAAAUCCAAACAACCACAGAACAGAUAGAACCAGAACCCCUUCCUCUCCUUGACUUGUGUGCCCGCUCCUCCCUCGUGUCACAGGGCCAGCAAGACGUGGCCUGUCCCCCGCACGGCUCACCAGCGGGGCACCACCUCCGCCUGUGACUGCCACUACACACGACAGCCUUGGGCACAGCUGGAUGGCGAGGGCCAACUCACUCAGCACACAUGGACCGUGCUGGGGGCUGAGUGCAUCUCCCUGGAACAUGACAUGGGGCGAGUGGCCCAGCAGCUCUAGCAUUCCGUUCCUUAGAAUGCUAGCCCAAGCAGGCCAGCCGUGGGGUGACCUUGGCCGAGCAGGUUCGGGUUCCCUGAGUGGACGCACGGUGUGCAUGUUGGGGGGAUUUGUCUGUUUUUCAUCCCAGCCUGGCUUCUUCCUGCCACCCAGAUGCUCCGAGCCUGCUCCUACCCUUCAUGCUGCCAUGUGCUCGGGAAAUACUGAUUUGACUGAUUUGAGCGAAACAUCAUCAGGAGGGAAAAACCUCUUAGAGGAAGGCAACCAUAAACAGUGACACAGUGCAGCCCAAGUCAUCCGCGGCUUUACCCGGCUGUGUGCAGCCUUUGGUGGGCAUCUGGGAGUGGUGCUUCACGGUUCUAGGGCUCUGGGUACGCCUGCAUUGUUUUGAGGGCACAUACCCGGCCACUGCAUUGCACCAGCCUGGGGACUCUGAGCCACGGGGGACCACCGCGUCUCGGCGCUGGGUUUGUUCUGUGGACCUCGCUCCUCCCCCACUCACAGGGCAGUGUGGCGGCUCUUUCUGAGGGAACCAUAGGGCUCUUUGGGACCAGCAAUGUGAUGCUACGGGCCCACGGGAGUAAAGACACCAACAGCACAGACGGAGCCGCCAGACCCCCAGCCAGGUCCACCCAGCGCCCAUCUAGCCAGCAACUGGUGAUCCUCCCAUCUGAAGGUUCCAGAAGGCUCCCGCUGCUUCUACCACUAACUGCCCCCUUCCCUCCGACUGCCUGUUAUGGGUUGCAUUGCGCCUUCACCGUGCCCUGAAAAAAAGACCUGUUGACGUCCUCAGCCUCAAAAUGUGACCUUGGUGGGAAAGGGAGUCACUGCAGUCGUAAUUACUUACUGAGAAGUCACACUGAGAAGAGUGGACCCUCAGUCCAAUGUGACUGUGUCCUCAUGAGAGGACAGCCAUGCUGGGGGGGGGGGCGCAUUUGAGGCCACUAGGACUCCACUUGGGAAGCCUGCACCCCAUACAGGGGAACCUGGGUUUAAGUCCUGACUCCCCUCCUGAUUCCAGCCUCCUGCUGAGGCACCCCCUGAGGGCAGCAGGUGAUGGAUCAAGUACUUAGGGCCUUGCCCUGUGUGUGAGAGUCCUGGAUUGAGUUCUUAGCUCCUGGCUUCCACCUGGCCCAGCCCUGGCUAUUGUGGGCAUUUGAGAAGUGAACCAGUGGAUGAGAAGUCUCUCUCUCUCUCUCUCUCUCUCUCUCUCUCUCUCCCCCACUCUCUCCUGCUACUCUCCUUCUCUCUCUUUCUGCCUUUUGAAUAAAUACAUAGAAAUUUAAAUGAGAAAAAGGAGGUGGCCAUGUGAAGGUACAGGCACACAGGGAGAACACCCCGUGAGAGCAAAGGCAGAGACCAGAAUGAGAGUUGCAAGCCCUGUGCGAGUGUCAGAGGUAGCGCAACUCUGCUGAUGCCUCCAUGCCAGGCUCCUGGGCUCUGGAACUGUGAGCCAAUCAAUUCAGUUCCCAUUGUUGGAAGCCAGCACUGUGGUGCAGUGGGUAAAGCCACUGCCUGCAGUGCCGGCAUCCCAUACGGGUGCUGGUUCGAGUCCCGGCUGUUCCACUUCCAAUUCAGCUGUCUUUCACGGCCUGGGAAAAGAGUAGAAGAUGGCCCAAGUCCUUGGGCCCCUGCACCCAGCUCCUGGCUUCCAAUCAGCAUAGCUCUGGCAGUGCAGCCAAUUGGGGAAUGAACCAGCAGAUGGAAGACCUCUCUCUCUCUCUCUGCCUCUCUGUAACUCUGCUUUUCAAAUAAAUAAAUAAAUCUUUAAAAAAGUUCCUACUGUUUUAUUCCACCUGGUGUGUGAGAUUUGGUUACAGCAGCCACAGGAAGCUAAUAACAACAGUACCUCAGAAAGU